rnacentral:rRNA from 1 species
GACGAAAAGGGCUAGCGUUUUUCGGAAUUACUGGGCGUAAAGCUCACGUAGGCGGACUAUCAAGUUGGGGGUGAAAUCCCGGGGCUCAACCUCGGAACUGCCUCCAAAACUGUUAGUCUAGAGGAUGUGAGAGGAUAGUGGAAUUCCGAGUGUAGAGGUGAAAUUCGUAGAUAUUCGGAAGAACACCGGUGGCGAAGGCGACUGUCUGGCACAUUUCUGACGCUGAGGUGCGAAAGCGUGGGGAGCAAACAGG